rnacentral:hammerhead_ribozyme from 1 species
GUCGAGCUGACGAGUCCCAAAUAGAACGAAAUGCACAUCCUGGAU